CAGUUUCCUCUACUUCCCAUGACUUACUCUGCAAACAGGGCGGAUAUGCACUGCCUGGGAGUGGUAGCUGGUGUGGAACAAGCGAUCUGCCUUCAGCAGCACAGAGAGGCCUGCCUGGAGGAGACGGAAAGAGGCUGUAAGCAAAUUGAGGACAAUGACCAGUCUGGGCCAUCUAUGUGCUUCCCAUGACACCAUGGAAAGCACCUCAUACAUCAGAGCUGAAAUGAACUCACUGAUCUUCCUUGAAGGUGCUCGGCUGGGCAAAACAAUGCCUACUGCCCUGUGUAUACCCUGGGAACAAAGCUCUACUCCCGUGGACUAACUGCCUACUGGAAAUGCUGUCCCCAAGAGCAGUCGCAGGAUAACAACACCUUCCCAGCAACAUUCCCUCCAUGGCUUGUAACGGGCCCCAAGGUGUGCACUCACUUAGUGACAGUGUCUUGGAACCAGACCCAGAGCUCUGCACCUGAUGGAGCCUGCAGGAAGGGUGGCCCCCAGUACCGGGUCCUCCAAAAGCCUUGUGUGAAUGACAGGUGCAGCUCCCGUAGAGAAUACUUGGAGAUCAGCUGCCCCAGGGCUUUGGGAAACAGCCUGUAAUGAGACACUGGGCAAAAGGGAGCGGGUGAGUGACGAUCCCCACCUCGUCGGGGUCCACACCCAGGAUCCAGAACUCCACCCAGGAAUUAGACCCCGCCCCCAAGGUUUGCCUCCACUCUACAGCCAGCUAGCAGGCACUACGGAAAUCUUUCUCUGGUCAGACCUAGCGCCCUCACCUCCUUCCCGCUGAAGCUCCGAAUCCCAGCGCGUGCGGAACUGGAAUGUGGCGGCUACAUCUCCGGAAGGCAGCGGAGUGAUGACAAGCUCCUCUCGCAGGCUGUCGCGCUGGGGUUCUGCAAGGCACCAGCCGCCGGGCCCCAGAAGCAGCAAGACAAAUAGAGCAAGCGGCAUGGCCGCCGCCAUGCCUGCGGCUACUUCCGCCUUCCCAGCGGCGCUAGCCCCCAUGGAAGGCCGGCAUCCAAUAGGAAAGGCGUAUGGGAAGUAACUUCCGGUGCCGUCCCGGAAACCGGGAUGCAGUUAUCAGAGCGACCGCCUGCGCAGGUCGCGGAGAUUGUCUCCGAGCUGGUGGGCCUAAAGGGGCACUGCGAGGACAUGAGAGGGAGUAGGCAGGACGAGUAACCAGCUUGAAGCCGCGCCCAGUUAAAGGCGAUUCCACCCACCAGGACAUACUUAAUAAUAUGAAGCUCCGUCACUGUUUUACCCAUUUAAUAGUUGAGGAAACAUUGACUGAAAAAAGUCAAUUACUUUUGGGAAAACCGUUCUGGUUUUAAAUUGCAUUUCCCAAGGUAAGAGGAACCUCCUGCCUCUUAGCUUCUAGUGUCUCCAUUUGCUGCAAAACCCCCAAAUAACUGUUUCUUUUAUUAUGAAAAUGUUGAAACAUACAGCAAAAUUGAAAGAAUGAGCACCUGUUAUAAUGAACCUGUUUCCUAUCACCUACAAACCUAGACUCUAUCAUUUAUGUUUUACUAUAUUUGUACUUUACCAUAUAUUUGUAUAUACAUCCAUCAGUCCAUCUUGUGUUUUGGUGCACUUUAAAUUGCAGACAGUGGUACAUUUUACGUAGUUCAGCAUGCAUAAAAUUAGAGUUGUUUUUGAUUGCAUUUUUCUUUUGAUGUAAAAUUCACAUACAGUGAAACGAACAAAUCCAAGGUACACAUUCACUGAGUUUUGACAAAUGCACACACCUAUGUAAUCUGGACUCCUGUCAUGAUACAGAACAUUUCUAAAAUUGGCCAGCACUCUUUCCUAGUCAAUCCCUGCUCCUCUACCACCUUCCAAAGGCAACUACUAUUCUCAUUUUUUCCCCCACAAUAGAUUGGUCUGUUCCAGAAUUAAAUAUAAAUGAAAUCAUAUAGUAUA